rnacentral:rRNA from 1 species
GUGACCUCGGAUGCACGUAGAUCCCCGGCAC